rnacentral:rRNA from 1 species
UACGGAGGAUGCGAGCGUUAUCCGGAUUUAUUGGGUUUAAAGGGUGCGCAGGCGGCACGGCAAGCCGGCGGUCAAAUCGCGGGGCUCAACCCCGCCCAGCCGUCGGAACUGCCGGGCUAGAGUGGGCGAGAAGUGCGCGGAAUGCGUGGUGUAGCGGUGAAAUGCAUAGGUAUCACGCAGAACUCCGAUUGCGAAGGCAGCGCACCGGCGCCCUACUGACGCUCAGGCACGAAAGCGUGGGUAUUGAACAGG